UACGUAGGGUUCGAGCGUUGUCCGGAAUUAUUGGGCGUACAGGGCUCGUAGGCGGUUUGUCGCGUCGGGAGUGAAAUCCACUGGCUUAACUGGUGGCUUGCUUUCGAUACGGGCAGACUGGAGGUAUGCAGGGGAGAACGGAAUUCCUGGUGUAGCGGUGAAAUGCGCAGAUAUCAGGAGGAACACCGGUGGCGAAGGCGGUUCUCUGGGCAUGUCCUGACGCUGAGGAGCGAAAGUGUGGGGAGCGAACAGG
rnacentral:rRNA from 1 species